CUGGGCUAUGGGGACAUGUACCCGGAGACGUGGUCUGGCAUGUUAGUGGGAGCUCUUUGCGCUCUGGCUGGAGUGCUGACCAUCGCCAUGCCCGUGCCCGUCAUCGUCAACAAC
rfam:Astyanax mexicanus chromosome 2, whole genome shotgun sequence.